AUUGAACGCUGGCGGCAGGCCUAACACAUGCAAGUCGAACGAGUCGCGGAAGGGAGGGUAAUGUCUGGGAAAGUGCGUGAUGGAGGGGGUUAACUAAUGGACACGGUAGCUAAAACCGCACAACAUAAGAUGUGCCCAGAUGGGAUUAGCUGGUUGGUGGGGUAACGGCACACCAAGGUUACGAGCCCUCGCUGGUCUGAGAGGAUGACCAGCCACACUGGAACUGAGACACGGUCCAGACUCCUACGGGAGGCAGCAUUGGUGAAUAUUGCACAAUGGGCGCAAGCCUGAUGCAGCCAUGCCGCGUGUAUGAAGAAGGCCUUCGGGUUGUAAAGUACUUUCAGCGGGGAGGCGUUACCCGCAGAAGAAGCACCGGCUAACUCCGUGCCAGCCGCCGCGGUAAUUC
rnacentral:rRNA from 1 species